GGAGAGAGAGAAGUGGGAAGAGGGCAGGGAGGAAAGAGGCGCUUGGGCAGGGGUCUCCUGGCCCCUGGGCUCACUUCAGGGUCUGGCUGUACCAGGCUGACGCUUAUGUUGUUGAGAGAGUGGAGCCUGACCCCGGGAUUGUGGAAAAGCCGAGGAACGAGGCACCUUGGUUGCUCAGCUCAGCCCGAGCCCCUCUCCUCAGGGAGGCCCUGGCACAGGUUAUAGAAGUGCCUUGCCUCCAGAGAGGGUGGGGGAAAGAUGUAGGAUGUUCCAGAAUUGGUUAAUACCUGUCAGGCUUCUAGCCACCUUCCCCUCCCCCACAACUCUCCUGCUUAGGCCAUGAAACCUCCACGUUAGACAGCAGAUUCAUAUGAAAAUUGAGUUGCAGCUGGUUGAGUUGAUGUCAACUUCAAAGUUCAGAGGUAUUUAAAACCAUUGCGAGACUAAACCUGCUCCCAGGAAAUUAUUCUGACCGAAUAGUUAAAGAGAAUAAAGGUUAGAUUGUAUUUCUGGCUAAGUCUGUGUUGCAAUCGGCAUCUCCAAAACAUGAAUUCCAUUAACCUUUCAUGAACCAACAUUAAAUUGCUUUCAAUUAGUUGUCAUUCUAAUUAGAGUCACACAGAACAGCCUUUGUUUAUACUUGAUGUCUGUUCCCUUUUCUCCUCUGGAAUUUUGUCCUUGAAGAAACAGUCAUUUGGAAAAUUGGAAAACUUGAUGUGCCUGCCCAUUCCUCCCUUAGUCGGGAGCCGUAGAGUGUCAGAAAGAAUUGCACCAGGGGAAGCAGGCGCGGCUGCAGCAGGAGGUCUGGGAUCCCUCCUACCAGUUUAACCCAGGGGCCGGCCCCGUGGCUGGGUGGUUAAUUUCGUGCACUCCGCUUCGGCGGCCCAGGGUUUCACCACUUCAGAUCCUGGGCACGGACAUGGCACCGCUCAUCAGGCCCUGCUGAGACGGUGUCCCACAUGCCACAACUAGAAGGACCCACCACUAAAAAUAAACAACUAUGUACCGGGGGGCUUAGGGGAGAAAAAGGAAAAAUAAAAAAUCUUUAAAAAAACAAACCAGUUUAACCCAUUUCAUUCUUUCUUUUUACAGUCAUGCUCCACAUGACGUUUUGGUCAACGACAGUAUAC
rnacentral:lncRNA from 1 species